rnacentral:rRNA from 1 species
AGUGAACGCUGGCGGUAAGCCUAACACAUGCAAGUCGAACGGCAGCACAGUAAGAGCUUGCUCUUACGGGUGGCGAGUGGCGGACGGGUGAGGAAUACAUCGGAAUCUACUUUUUCGUGGGGGAUAACGUAGGGAAACUUACGCUAAUACCGCAUACGACCUACGGGUGAAAGCAGGGGAUCUUCGGACCUUGCGCGAUUGAAUGAGCCGAUGUCGGAUUAGCUAGUUGGCGGGGUAAAGGCCCACCAAGGCGACGAUCCGUAGCUGGUCUGAGAGGAUGAUCAGCCACACUGGAACUGAGACACGGUCCAGACUCCUACGGGAGGCAGCAGUGGGGAAUAUUGGACAAUGGGCGCAAGCCUGAUCCAGCCAUACCGCGGGGGUGAAGAAGGCCUUCGGGUUGUAAAGCCCUUUUGUUGGGAAAGAAAAGCAGCAGGUUAAUACCCCGCUGUUCUGACGGUACCCAAAGAAUAAGCACCGGCUAACUUCGU